UUCACUUUAACAGGGAGUCUCAUCUCUGAAGAACAGCAUUCUGAAUAUGAAAAUGAAGAUGAACUUUUCUCAGCAGAACAGAAAAUCACACCAGGAUACUAUAAUGAUGUCAUCACUGUUGGACUGUCGGCAGAUCGUCAGACAGCAGACGUGCCAGAGAAUUAUGAUGAUGUCAUCAUUGUCAGACAGAACAUUCAAGGUAUAAAUGCAGACGUGCCAGAAGACUAUGAUGAUGUCAUCAUUAUUAGACAGAACAGUCAAGGUAUAAAUGACUAUGAGGAUGUGGAGGAGGAGUCAAAUUGAUCUAACAGCCCCAAUGCCUAUAAAAUCAUAAGUGUCUGAACAAAGGAGCUUAUGGGACCUUUAUUAUUGCUAUUAAAUCAUUAUUGACGUCAGAUGAUCUAUUAAUGCAGAAUUAUAUGCAAAGAAAAUUAUAAUAUAUUUUAAUCCUUACUAUAUCAGCUUAUCAUUUAUUAUGUGACUUACCCGGGUAAGUUUAGGAGUAAGUAUAACCUCUCUCUUCGGUUCCAAAAAUGGAGGUAACUUUCGGGUUAUGUUAGUAACCAUAGCAAAUGACUCUCUGAGUAUAACCUGCUCCGGAGCGUGUACGCAUAUAUUUUGCAUAAUAUUAUAAUGUUAAAGCAUUUAUUUUAUUACAUUCACAGUCACAAAUAUUUAUUGCUGUCUA